CUGGGACACAGAGGGGGCUCCGAGACCGGGAUUGAUUCGGGCUGAAAAAUCUUCUGUCUUCCUCCAAGCAAAUAUUUGAAUGAUGAAGACAAUGUCAUAUUUCCUCAGUCCAAAGCCAAGUGUGACCAGCUGCUUCAAACAAACAGCAGAAGAGUUCAACUACGUUCAAUACAUUUGCCUGAAUGAUUUAAAUCUUCUCCCUGUAUGACAAAAAUACAAGUCUUUUCGCUUUCUUCAUUGAUCCAUAGAGCAUCAGGAGAGGACUGCUAAUGGCUUGCACCAUCACACCACAGAGCAGGAUUAUGUAACACUCACAAUAAAAUAAUGAAGUGAACUA